UUGAUAAUACAAAGAGAAAUUUGACAAAUGGCCUAAAUGCCAACAUGGGCUUUCAGACUUCAGGGUUCAACAUGCCAGUCAAUCCAAACCAGAACUUCUUCAGUGGUACGAGCACAGCUGGUGUGACCACCAUGACUCUGGGAGCACCUCCUACCAUGUCAAACUUCAGCCCUUUGAGUAUUCCUCCUGCUAGUGUGAAGCAGACUCAACAGAGACCACCUGAUAUGUCUGCCCUUAAUAAUCUCUUUGGCCCUCAGAAACCCAAAGUCAGCAUGAACCAGCUGUCCCAACAGAAACCAAAUCAGUGGCUGAAUCAGUUUGUACCUCCUCAAGGUUCUCCAGGCAUGGGCAGUGCAGCCAUGGGCACACAGGUGAAUGUGAUGGGACAGGCUGCCUUUGGUAUGCAGGGCAACCCUUUCUUCAACCCACAGAGCUUCGCACAGCCACCACCAACUACUAUGACCAGUAGCAGCUCAGCUAGCAAUGAUUUGAAAGAUCUUUUCGGGUGAGGUGUCUCUCGCUGCCUUUUGGAGGGUCACUGCAGUUUCAAUCAUGGGAAAGCUGACUUACGUCAGUGUGAGGCUGUCUUGAAGAAACUGCUUCUGUGGGAGAUGGAUUGUUUCUGUGACAGAAAACUCCUGCUUCCAUGCCAGCCAGCGUAGGAGUUGUGUGCAUCCUAACAAGUGGAAGCUUUUAAAGCAUGGAGGAUUUUCUCCCUAUUACAAACUCCUCUUCAGGUUUUUAAAGAUCCAGUCCUUACUAGUCUCAAAGUGCAAAAGGACAGCUGAAUUAUCCUGAAUAGCAGUUUUUAAAUCAGAUGUUUUAUUUUGGCUUGUAAAUCUUCUUGUUAUUAAAAACCUUGAGUUGAUGGUAACUGGAAGUCCCCUUGGUAUCUACCUUCAUAUUCACUUGUCUUCAUUGAAAGGGAAGAGUCUUGAUGCUGUGCUAAUGUGUGUGCAUUUGUAAGAUAGUGGGCGACAACACAGAAAGGAUUGGGUCAUUAUUCGCUUUUCUAGUCUUAUUUUUCAAAGAAAUGUAUGCUUAAUAAAAGCACAGCAAAAUGCUGCAAAAUUUAACUUAUAUUAAUUUCAUUGGUUUAAAAAACAUUAACCAUUCUAAAUGCAAACUAAUCAUUGUAAGUUAUAUUUUAGCAUGAUCUGCCUCAAAUAGCAAUGUAUUUUUCUGCCUUUACUUGAAUAUAUUUAGGCUCACUUUCUUCCCUGUUGUAUCACAGAGGAGCUAUGUACCGAUUUGUACAGAAAACAGACAGAGCACUCGGACACGAUUUUCUCAACUACUGCCUUCAUACUUGAUUUUCAGUUCAAACUUCUGAGGAUGCGGCAUAUAUGAAUUACAUUUUCGAAAGGAGAUUUGUUAAAAAUUUAGUUAAGCUAUAUUUAAUGAGUAACUUUUGAGAUUUCUGCCAUAUUGUUUCAAUAUAGUAAAGUCUAAAAAUGAGCAAGCCAUUGGCUACCAUCAGGUUCGAUGUUAGCUUGCCGUGAUGCCUGACCUCGCUAGUUACUACUACAGUUGAAUUCUUUUCUAGACGUCCCAGAAACUUUGUUUGGACAUUUAGUGUCUGUAAUCAGCCACUGUUAGGAAGGAAGGAGUCAAUUCUAAUAGGCCACACCUCACUUUUUGGAACCGUUCUGAUGUCUGUCGUUAACUUGCUGAUUCUACCACAGAGCCUUAUGCUAUAGACGUCAUUUGUAUUUUUAAAAAGUAUACUCCACUGUUAUGUGAUAAUUAUAAAACUCCUAAAAAAACUCUGUAUGUAUUAUAGUUGCUGCCAUACAGUUUGUGGUUUUUAAUUAUCUGGAACCAGCAAUCCUUAAAUAAAUCAUAUGAAGUUUAUUAAAUGGCUGAAUGUUCAUUCAGAUUAUAUACGUGUGUGCACAUGGUGGGUAUAAAUUGUAGGACUUGAUUACAAAGUACAUUUCAUGCUGAUACCAAUGCUGAAAGCAUCCAGUUAAAGCACACUUGUAAAAAACGUGAGUCAGCAGUCACACCUCACUCCUGAGUGUACUACACUUGGGUGGCAUGACUUAAAAAGGACUGGAGGAUGCAAAGAAGUCACUCAAAAAUUAAAAGCCGUUUAUCUUCGCAACUUUGCCUGAUUCAUUUUUAACACGAUACUAAUAUUUCUUUUGGGAAAUGUUUUAUAUGGAAUAAAAUUGUUAUUGAAGAAUAUUUCUUUGG
rnacentral:lncRNA from 1 species